ACGGUGAGGGAUGAAAGCUGGGGGAGCAAACCGGAUUAGAUACCCGGGUAGUCCCAGCUGUAAACGAUGCAAACUCGAUGAUGCGUUGGCUUGUUGCUAGCGCAGUGUCGCAGGGAAGCCGUUAAGUUUGCCGCCUGGGAAGUACGUACGCAAGUAUGAAACUUAAAGGAAUUGGCGGGGGAGCACCACAAGGGGUGAAGCCUGCGGUUCAAUUGGAGUCAACGCCU
rnacentral:rRNA from 1 species